GCCUCCGUGGCGCAGUGGUAGCGCAGCCGCCUUGUAAGCGGCAGGUCGUCCGUUCGAUCCGGACCGGAGGCU
rnacentral:tRNA from 2 species